ACGGGAGGCAGCAGUGGGGAAUAUUGGGCAAUGGGCGAAAGCCUGACCCAGCAACGCCGCGUGAAGGAAGAAGGUCUUCGGAUUGUAAACUUCUUUUAUGAGGGACGAAGGACGUGACGGUACCUCAUGAAUAAGCCACGGCUAACUACGUGCCAGCAGCCGCGGUAAUACGUAUGGAGCAAGCGUUAUCCGGAUUUACUGGGUGUAAAGGGAGCGUAGACGGCGUGGCAAGUCUGAUGUGAAAGCUAUGGGCUCAACCCAUAAACUGCAUUGGAAACUGUCAUGCUAGAGUGUCGGAGAGGUAAGCGGAAUUCCUAGUGUAGCGGUGAAAUGCGUAGAUAUUAGGAGGAACACCAGUGGCGAAGGCGGCUUACUGGACGAUAACUGACGUUGAGGCUCGAAGGCGUGGGGAGCAAACAGGAUUAGAUACCCUGGUA
rnacentral:rRNA from 1 species